rnacentral:rRNA from 1 species
GCGCAGCAGUCGCGAAUCUUCCACAAUGGACGAAAGUCUGAUGGAGCGACGCCGCGUGCGGGAUGAAGGCCUUAUGGGUUGUAAACCGCUGUCAGGGGGGAAGAACAUCGGAAUGAACAAUACUCAUUCCGACUGACGUUACCCCCAGAGGAAGCUCCGGCCAACUCCGUGCCAGCAGCCGCGGUAAUACGGGGGGAGCAAGCGUUGUCCGGAAUUAUUGGGCUAAAGGGCGUGUAGGCGGCGAGGUAAGUCGAAUGUGAAAUCUCACGGCUCAACCGUGAAACUGCGUUCGAAACUACCCUGCUUGAGUACGGGAGAGGUGUACGGAAUUCCGUGGUGUAGCGGUGGAA